GGUUGGCUAAUCCUGGUCGGACAUCAGGAGGUUAGUGCAAUGGCAUAAGCCAGCUUGACUGCGAGCGUGACGGCGCGAGCAGGUGCGAAAGCAGGUCAUAGUGAUCCGGUGGUUCUGAAUGGAAGGGCCAUCGCUCAACGGAUAAAAGGUACUCCGGGGAUAACAGGCUGAUACCGCCCAAGAGUUCAUAUCGACGGCGGUGUUUGGCACCUCGAUGUCGGCUCAUCACAUCCUGGGGCUGAAGUAGGUCCCAAGGGUAUGGCUGUUCGCCAUUUAAAGUGGUACGCGAGCUGGGUUUAGAACGUCGUGAGACAGUUCGGUCCCUAUCUGCCGUGGGCGCUGGAGAACUGAGGGGGGCUGCUCCUAGUACGAGAGGACCGGAGUGGACGCAUCACUGGUGUUCGGGUUGUCAUGCCAAUGGCACUGCCCGGUAGCUAAAUGCGGAAGAGAUAAGUGCUGAAAGCAUCUAAGCACGAAACUUGCCCCGAGAUGAGUUCUCCCUGACCCUUUAAGGGUCCUGAAGGAACGUUGAAGACGACGACGUUGAUAGGCCGGGUGUGUAAGCGCAGCGAUGCGUUGAGCUAACCGGUACUAAUGAACCGUGAGG
rnacentral:rRNA from 1 species